UCUGACGGAGCAACGCCGCGUGAGUGAUGAAGGCUUUCGGGUCGUAAAACUCUGUUGUUAGGGAAGAACAAGUACGAGAGUAACUGCUCGUACCUUGACGGUACCUAACCAGAAAGCCACGGCUAACUACGUGCCAGCAGCCGCGGUAAUACGUAGGUGGCAAGCGUUAUCCGGAAUUAUUGGGCGUAAAGCGCGCGCAGGCGGUUUCUUAAGUCUGAUGUGAAAGCCCACGGCUCAACCGUGGAGGGUCAUUGGAAACUGGGGAACUUGAGUGCAGAAGAGAAAAGCGGAAUUCCACGUGUAGCGGUGAAAUGCGUAGAGAUGUGGAGGAACACCAGUGGCGAAGGCGGCUUUUUGGUCUGUAACUGACGCUGAGGCGCGAAAGCGUGGGGAGCAAACAGGAUUAGA
rnacentral:rRNA from 1 species